rnacentral:lncRNA from 1 species
GAUGAUGCAACAGGGAAAGAGCUUUCAGUUCAACAUAAGAUGGAACAUUCUCCACGUCCCUGAAGAAGGAGUGAGCUUUCCAGGAUGCUGAUGAGCACUUGGUCACCAGAGAUGAAGACCUGGAUCCUUGAAAUUGCUUGCAAGACCCUUUUGGAUCUGGCUCCUGCCUACCUCUCCAGCCCAGCUUCAAGUCCUCUAUUCUGCCCUGCCUUAACCCUGGGCUUCCGGAGCCUUCUUUCAGGACCCAAACCCUCCAUACUCCUUCCAUCUCAGCCCCAACAUAGACCCUUCUUCCACCAGCCUCACUCCUCUUCCCAUCUGCUCACUUCUGCUCCUCUGAUGGUCCCAUCCCCAGGAAGUCCCCCAUGACCCCAAAGAGGGUUACACCGCGUAUAUUCCCCCAGCUCUCACUCUCUUCCCCAGUGACGAAACACCAUUAUAAUGGAAAGAUCAGUUGCAUCU